CUUAACAAAAUUAGAGGCAAAUACUUCUAUAAUAAAGACUAUAAGUCAGCGUUUUUCAACGACAGUACUCGGGUCUUUACGUUUGACACGGAAGAGGCACUGAAGGCUAAGAUGUGUGCCUACAAGGAAAGAGUAAAAAAAUUACACUUCAGCAUCGCCGUGUACGACAUUGAUGCCGACGAGUCAACAGACCCGUGCAAUAAGACCAAAUACACGGGCCGGUACAGUAGGCUGAAGCUGCUCCGCAAGCUGAACGGCUUCAUGGAGAAUUACACCAACAAGAAGGACUGCGAAAGUGUAUCCUAGCAAGUGUUUACAGUGGCUGUGGUGCGUGGCGUAGGGAAACGACCUGAUGCCUGAUUGUCUACUACGAUUACUGGUGAAAACUGCACAUUUUCUUUUGCGUGUAUAUACCUCCUCCUUACAUAAUCUAGCUACCCUAUGUUAUUUCAGCGACA
rnacentral:lncRNA from 1 species